UGUGACAUCCCAUAGCUAAAGGCAAGAAGU
rnacentral:piRNA from 1 species